rnacentral:lncRNA from 1 species
UGUAUGAGCUUUCGUAACGUUCGGUUGUGUGACAGUUCAGUGUGGAAGUGAUAAUUCAAAAAAAACGCAGGCGACAAAAACAAAAUAGGAACUACAUAAUAGAGCUACAGAAAAACAAGAAGAAGGACAAGGACCACAUAGGACCAAAAAAAAAAAAAUAGAUCUGAAGUUGACAGGACACCUGGUUGUGCAUUGCCUUGAGCAAGACGCGCAUAACCAAUAA